rnacentral:misc_RNA from 1 species
AAAAAUUUCCUCAAACAGUGUCUAAUAUAACCCAUUGUGAUUAGCUCAAUUUGAAGUUCAACAAGUGAGAUACACGUGCAUCUCUCACUCCUCCCAUUAUGCUAUUUUUCACUUCCUUUGUUGCUUCUGCUGCUUUACUCUUCGUGCUCUCUCUCCCUGAUCCAUAUGCUUCCUCUCUAUAUGUUUUCUCUUUCUCACCCCUUUCUUUCUCUCUCUAUAUUUUCUCUGUCACCCCUCUUAUUCCUCUCUUUCCUUCUAAAAUCACAAAUUCACAAUAAUAAAAUACCAUAAUUUAAGAACAAAAUUAACAAAUUCACAUAUUAAUCAAGUAAUAGGCAAUAUAAGGGGUGAGAUUAUGGGCCAUGACAAGAGGCGGAGGGAAUUAUUCAUGACAUAAGAUAAGAGGGGAGUAUGGGUUGUGAGUUGCAAUAGAGACAAAAGGGGAGAGGAGAUAUAGGUCAUGAUAGAAGGCAAAAACCUGCAAUUCUAUUUCAUUAAAUUAACUCAGCAUCAAAUCUCUUUAAGUUACCAAACACAAAAUAAGAGACCUCAUCACUUUGAUAAUUAGGGUCAAAAGCAUAGUCUAGUUCUUCCAUCUCGUAGUCAUUGAUUAGUGCCAUGUUCCUUUAUGGCUUUUCACUCAAUGAAAAAGUACUUCACUGUUCUUCUUCUUCCUCCUCCGCCUCUUCAUAGUAGUCAUCAUCAUCAUCAAAUUUUGGUUCAUAAAUCUAAAGUUUUUCCAACAUCAAGUUUUACCUCUCUAUUCACCAGUGCAAUUCUAGCAACCUUCCAUAGUAUUGUACUUUGUUAGAAAACAAAAAGGGGACUAGACCAAAAAUAGAGAUUCAUUCUUAGAGCCAUGAUUUGGCCACAUGAGGAAGAAUUAUAAGAGUAACCAUUUAUGCUUCAAUCUUUACUUCUAUCUUCUUAUUCAUCACCAGAAUUCUUGUUUCUACUCAUUCAACAAAACCCCCUAAGCUUCAAAUUUUAUGGGUUGUGUUAUAUAUAGUGCUUUUUUGUUGUCAGUAGACAAUAGUGCAAGUUUGGAAUCUAACUUUAGUUUUUCUUUCUGCAAGUCCUUGAUUCAAUAUGUGAUUAAGAACUUCUU